rnacentral:rRNA from 1 species
GAUGAACACUGGCGGCGUGCCUAAUACAUGCAAGUCGAGCGAACAGACGAGGAGCUUGCUCCUCUGACGUUAGCGGCGGACGGGUGAGUAACACGUGGAUAACCUACCUAUAAGACUGGGAUAACUUCGGGAAACCGGAGCUAAUACCGGAUAACAUGUUGAACCGCAUGGUUCAACAGUGAAAGACGGUCUUGCUGUCACUUAUAGAUGGAUCCGCGCCGCAUUAGCUAGUUGGUAAGGUAACGGCUUACCAAGGCAACGAUGCGUAGCCGACCUGAGAGGGUGAUCGGCCACACUGGAACUGAGACACGGUCCAGACUCCUACGGGAGGCAGCAGUAGGGAAUCUUCCGCAAUGGGCGAAAGCCUGACGGAGCAACGCCGCGUGAGUGAAGAAGGUCUUCGGAUCGUAAAACUCUGUUAUUAGGGAAGAACAAAUGUGUAAGUAACUAUGCACGUCUUGACGGUACCUAAUCAGAAAGCCACGGCUAACUACGUG